AGGAUGUGUGCAGAAGGAGGAUGUGUGCAGAAGGAGGAAAGGAGGACAACGGGAAUGGAGAGGUGAACUCCAAGGAGAAAUUAGUAAAUUAUGACCUCCUCUGAUGCAAUGGGAAACACCUUGACAAUAUCAGUGAACUCCAUGAAGAUAUUAGUGAGCUGAAUGAAAAAAUUAGUGGACUUCAAAGAGAACUUGCGAAUGUGACCCUGGAUCCAAACACAGCAAAUGCCCAGCUCAUCGUGUCUGAGGAUCGGAAAAGCGUGAGGCGUGGAAUUGCACGGCAGGAGGUGCCGGACAAUCCAGAGCGAUUCCAUUCUUUCUGUUUGCUGGGCUGUGAGAGGUUCACCUCAGGGUGACAUUACUGGGAGGUGGAGGUGGGAGAUGGAUGAUUUGGGGCUGUGGGUGUUGCCAGAGAGUCUAUGAGGAGGAAGGGAGGGAUCAGAUUUAACCCUGAGCAGGGGACCUGGGCUGUAGAGCAGUGUGGGGAUCAGUACCGGGCUCUCACCUCCCCGGAAACUCCCAUGCCCCUGAGUGAGAGACCUAAGAAGAUUGGGGUUUAUCUGGACUAUGAAGCGGAGUGGGUGGCAUUUUAUAAUACUGGUAAUGAGACCCUGAUCUUUACUUUCAUGUCAGCAUCUUUCACUGGGGAGACAAUCCUUCCCUUCUUCUGGGUGGGGAUUGGAGUCCCGCUCAGAGUCUGCCCCUGAGGCCUGGAGAUGGAGAGGUAGCAAUAUCCCACUGGGGUUCACUCUGAUUAUGGACCAGAAAUGGACUGAACUAGUUGUUGUCCUGGGGACAGCUCAGAUGGUUUAAAACACACUGCUGUGGUUCUAGAGAGGGGGAUUGAGGAGACAGAGAAGAUGGGGGGGGGGUUGUAGGGAGCAUAGGCACCGACUCUGUGGGUGCCACAGGGCUUGAGCACCCACAAGGAAAAAUUAGUGGGUGCUCUGCACCCACCGGAAGCCAAGCUCCCUUCACUCCCCAUCCAACUCACCUCCUUCUCCUGCCCUGAGCACGCCGCGUCCCCACUCCUCCACCUACCUCCCAGUGCUUCCCGCCGCCACACAGCUGUAGCAAGCUCUGGGAGGGAGGGGGGAGGAGGCAGGAGCGGGGCGGGGACGGAGAUUUGGGGAAGGAGUUGGACUCGGGGCAGGGGUGGAGUUGGGGUGGGGCCGGGGCCGACGGGGGGUUGAGCACCCACUGGCGCCUGUAGAAGGUGGUGCCUAUGGUAGGGAGAGGAGAAGCUGAAGACUGGAAAGGGAACGUGAGGCUUUACUGGGGAGGGAGAUGCUGGAAGGAAAUGGAGGGUGAAAGACAGGGAAAGGGGGUAAGGAAAGUAGAGAGAGAGGGAAUAAAACUGUUCAAUAUUAUGGAAAGUGAUUGUGUUUUCUUAACUCAGUCCCUUUGUUCAUGAAAAAAACUAUUUUGAGGCCUUAAAUUAUUCUUGCAGAUUUUGGACACUCUCUUCUCUGUGUUCUGAUUAUUACACUAUCAUUGAAUUGUUUGGAAUUCUCACAUUUCCUGACUGUAAAUAUAGCAUGUAUUUUAAAUGCUGUUAUUUCUGUUCGGUAUUUUCUUUUCUCUCUCUUUCUUUCA